CCCGCCGGAGCCCAGCGCGCCCCGCGGCCCGACCUCGCGCACCCGCGGGCCGGAGGCCGCUCACUUUCCGCGGGCCUUCCUGCGGCCGGGAGCCCUCGGGGACCGGCUCCCACGGCCCCCAAGGGUCCGUGACAACUGCAGUAGGCCUGGAGCUGUCAAGGAUUGCAGGGGAGAAGGUGGAAAGGAGUAGCCACAGGGCCUGGGAAAGGCCAGGUGGGCACUGCCCUGCUGGAGAAUGGGCAUCACCUGUCCUCAGGGCCACACUGAGCUGGGGCCCUGUCAGCACUCCACCCAGAGUGCAGGCUUAUUUUGGAAUCGUGGGCUAAUUGUGAUCCGUCCUGUGACCACACCUUCCUGGCGUGCUUCGACUGCCUGUAGGAAUGUUUAUUCCGGAACUUACUCUCCGUUUCUCACGUCCUUUGUAUGGGACUUGACCUUAACACUUGUCUGCGGUUCAUGUUGAAGUGAGGUCACUGCACGUAUCCACAUAGAACUUAAACAAGGAAGCACUCCGAGUAAGAUGUUACUAUUCCUUUAGCACCUCAUUGCAUAAGGAUCUUCCAGGACUGAAGCUCUGAUCACCUCCCUGCUCUUCUUGGAAACCAUCAUUGGCUCCCUGUUACCCACAGAAGGAGCACAAAUGCUUUGGUGUUGCAUUCAAGGAACCCCUCAAAAACCGACCCCAUGCUGCCUUUCUGGGAAGACCUCACACGCUCUCCCGCCUUCAUUUAAUGCUCCAGCCUGAUGGUAUCACUGCCUAUUUUCUGAACUCUGAUGCUUCCCUUCCUCUCCUCUUUUCAGAAAUUGGCAGUGGGAUGGCCAACGAGAGUGGCGCUCCUUGCCCCGCCGUGCCCCGCUAGUAGAAGGGGCGAUGAUGUGGUGGUACGUGCACACAUCCUACCUCGGGAGAAUCAGACAUUUGGAGAAGAAGACGGAGAACAAACAUGUUCAGAGAACACAGCACCUGCUUCUGUCUGGAGCGUGGGGGGAGAUGACCUGGAGCCAAGUUUGUGGGCUGGGCAGGAUUUAGGGAGAGAGAUGCGGGGACCAGGUUGAGAGUACCAUCUGCCUGGCCACUUGUCAAAGCAAGGUAGUUGCUAGAUUUCAGAAA